GACGAACGCUGGCGGCGUGCUUAACACAUGCAAGUCGAACGGUAAGGCUCCAGCUUGCUGGGGUACACGAGUGGCGAACGGGUGAGUAACACGUGGGUGACCUGCCCUGCACUUCGGGAUAAGCCUGGGAAACUGGGUCUAAUACCGGAUAGGACCGCACUGUGAGGGUGUGGUGGAAAGUUUUUUCGGUGUGGGAUGGGCCCGCGGCCUAUCAGCUUGUUGGUGGGGUAAUGGCCUACCAAGGCGGCGACGGGUAGCCGGCCUGAGAGGGUGGACGGCCACAUUGGGACUGAGACACGGCCCAGACUCCUACGGGAGGCAGCAGUGGGGAAUAUUGCACAAUGGGCGGAAGCCUGAUGCAGCGACGCCGCGUGGGGGAUGACGGCCUUCGGGUUGUAAACUCCUUUCACCAUCGACGAAGGGUUUCUGACGGUAGAUGGAGAAGAAGCACCGGCUAACUACGUG
rnacentral:rRNA from 1 species